GGGAGGGGCUAUGGGUCAGGAGUGAGGGCCACUCCUGACCCAUAGCCAGGAGGGCUCA
rfam:Alligator mississippiensis ScZkoYb_180, whole genome shotgun sequence.